CCCUGUGUGGCUCAAACAGUUAAGCACUCAGCUACUAGCUGAAAGGUUGGUGGUUUAAAUCCACCCGUAGAUA
rnacentral:tRNA from 1 species